rnacentral:rRNA from 1 species
GACGAACGCUGGCGGCGUGCUUAACACAUGCAAGUCGAACGCUGAAGCCCUUUCGGGGGUGGAUGAGUGGCGAACGGGUGAGUAACACGUGGGUAAUCUGCCCUGUACUUCGGGAUAAGCCUUGGAAACGGGGUCUAAUACCGGAUAGGACCUGUCCUCGCAUGGGGGUGGGUGGAAAGUUCCGGCGGUAUGGGAUGAGCCCGCGGCCUAUCAGCGUGUUGGUGGGGUAGUGGCCUACCAAGGCGACGACGGGUAGCCGGCCCGAGAGGGUGACCGGUCACACUGGGACUGAGACACGGCCCAGACUCCUACGGGAGGCAGCAGUGGGGAAUCUUGCGCAAUGGGCGAAAGCCUGACGCAGCAACGCCGCGUGGGGGAUGACGGCCUUCGGGUUGUAAACCUCUUUCGACAUCGACGAAGGGGCCCUGUUGUGGGGUUUUGACGGUAGGUGUAGAAGAGGCACCGGCUAACUACGUGCCAGCCGCCGCCGUAA